rnacentral:rRNA from 1 species
CCACCCUGCUUCCAGGAAAAGCCUCUAAGCUUCAGUCAUAGAGUGACCGUACCGCAAACCGACACAGGUGGGCUGGUAGAGAAUACCAAGGCGCUUGAGAGAACUCAGGAGAAGGAACUCGGCAAAUUGAUACCGUAACUUCGGGAGAAGGUAUGCCCCGUUAGCUUGUAGGAGUACAUCCGAAGGGCGAAGGGGCCGCAGAGAAUCGGUGGCUGCGACUGUUUAUUAAAAACACAGCACUGUGCAAACACGAAAGUGGACGUAUACGGUGUGACGCCUGCCCGGUGCCGGAAGGUUAAGUGAUGGGGUGCAAGCUCUUGAUCGAAGCCCCGGUAAACGGCGGCCGUAACAAUAACGGUCCUAAGGUAGCGAAAUUCCUUGUCGGGUAAGUUCCGACCUGCACGAAUGGCGUAACGAUGGCCACACUGUCUCCUCCUGAGACUCAGCGAAGUUGAAAUGUUUGUGAAGAUGCAAUCUACCCGCGGCUAGACGGAAAGACCCCAUGAACCUUUACUGUAGCUUUGCAUUGGACUUUGACGGGAUUUGUGUAGGAUAGGUGGGAGGCUAUGAAACCAGGACGCUAGUUCGGGUGGAGCCAACCUUGAAAUACCACCCUGGUGUCGUCGAGGUUCUAACCCAGGUCUGUGAAUCCAGAUCGGGGACCGUGCAUGGUGGGCAGUUUGACUGGGGCGGUCUCCUCCUAAAGCGUAACGGAGGAGUACGAAGGUCACCUAGGUACGGUCGGACAUCGUACUGAUAGUGCAAUGGCAAAAGGUGGCUUGACUGCGAGACCCACAAGUCGAGCAGGUGCGAAAGCAGGUCAUAGUGAUCCGGUGGUUCUGUAUGGAAGGGCCAUCGCUCAACGGAUAAAAGGUACUCUGGGGAUAACAGGCUGAUUCCGCCCAAGAGUUCACAUCGACGGCGGAGUUUGGCACCUCGAUGUCGGCUCAUCACAUCCUGGGGCUGUAGCCGGUCCCAAGGGUAUGGCUGUUCGCCAUUUAAAGUGGUACGUGAGCUGGGUUUAAAACGUCGUGAGACAGUUUGGUCCCUAUCUGCCGUGGGCGCUGGAAGUUUGAGAGGGCUUGCUCCUAGUACGAGAGGACCGGAGUGAACGCACCCCUGGUGUACCGGUUGUGACGCCAGUCGCAUCGCCGGGUAGCUAUGUGCGGAAGAGAUAACCGCUGAAAGCAUCUAAGCGGGAAACUCGCCUCAAGAUGAGACUUCCCCGGGGCCUCGAGCCCCCUGAAGGGUCGUUGAAGACCACAACGUUGAUAGGUCGGGUGUGGAAGCGUGGCAACACGUUAAGCUAACCGAUACUAAUUGCCCGUGUGGCUUGAUCCC